rnacentral:rRNA from 1 species
AUUGAACGCUGGCGGCAGGCCUAACACAUGCAAGUCGAGCGGAUGACGGGAGCUUGCUCCUUGAUUCAGCGGCGGACGGGUGAGUAAUGCCUAGGAAUCUGCCUGGUAGUGGGGGACAACGUUUCGAAAGGAACGCUAAUACCGCAUACGUCCUACGGGAGAAAGCAGGGGACCUUCGGGCCUUGCGCUAUCAGAUGAGCCUAGGUCGGAUUAGCUAGUAGGUGAGGUAAUGGCUAACCUAGGCGACGAUCCGUAACUGGUCUGAGAGGAUGAUCAGUCACACUGGAACUGAGACACGGUCCAGACUCCUACGGGAGGCAGCAGUGGGGAAUAUUGGACAAUGGGCGAAAGCCUGAUCCAGCCAUGCCGCGUGUGUGAAGAAGGUCUUCGGAUUGUAAAGCACUUUAAGUUGGGAGGAAGGGCAGUAAGUUAAUACCUUGCUGUUUUGACGUUACCGACAGAAUAAGCACCGGCUAACUCUGUGCCAGCCGCCGCAGUAAGAC